CCUAAGUUGGUGUAGUGGUAACACGUCCAUUGCCGACAGGUAGUUGAACCUACUUGCCCCUUCGGGGGAGUUGGAAGACCUAGGUUCAAAUCCUAGACUUGGGG
rnacentral:tRNA from 1 species